UACGUAGGUGGCAAGCGUUGUCCGGAAUUACUGGGUGUAAAGGGAGCGUAGGCGGGAAUGCAAGUUGGAUGUGAAAUACCUGGGCUUAACCUGGGGGCUGCAUCCAAAACUGCAUUUCUUGAGUGAAGUAGAGGUAGGCGGAAUUCCUAGUGUAGCGGUGGAAUGCGUAGAUAUUAGGAGGAACACCAGUGGCGAAGGCGGCCUACUGGGCUUUAACUGACGCUGAGGCUCGAAAGCGUGGGGAGCAAACAGG
rnacentral:rRNA from 1 species